rnacentral:rRNA from 1 species
UACAUAGGCAGCAAGCGUUGUUCGGAAUUACUGGGCGUAAAGAGUGUGUAGGCGGUGUUCCAAGUCUGGUGUGAAAUCUCCCGGCUUAACUGGGAGGGUGCAUUAGAAACUGGAAUGCUAGAGGAUGGGAGAGGUAAGCGGAAUUCCUGGUGUAGCGGUGAAAUGCGUAGAUAUCAGGAGGAACACCUGUGGUGUAGACAGCUUACUGGACCAUUUCUGACGCUGAGACACGAAAGCGUGGGUAGCAAACAGG